UUGCGGCCUGUGGUGCAUAGUUGUGCAAGAACUUUGUUGACUCUAGAGAACCUCGGGCAAAUCGCACAUCCCCGUGGCGGCGACUUUGCAUGCGGAUGUCAUUCAUAUCAACUUUCGAUGCCAGUUUCUGUGCCUACCAUGGUGACCACGAGUAAUGGGGAAUCAGGAUUCCAUUCCGUACAGGGACCCUAAGAAAUGGCUACCACAUGCAAGGAAGGCAGCAGCCGCGCAAAUGAUCCACUCCCGACGCGGGAAGGUAGUGACGA